UGAGUACAUUCACAAUGUUGUGCAACCAUCACUUCUAUCUAGUUCCAGAACCUUUUUAUCACCCCAAAUGGAAACCCCAUGCUCAUGGGUGA